rnacentral:lncRNA from 1 species
CUGGGAGCUGCCUAGGAAUUGCAUUUAACAGGCACCCAGGUCUUUGGAAUGGCAUCUCUUCAUAUGCAACGUAGAAUAUAUGCUUACUGUAUUAGUCCACUUUGUGUUGCUGUGAAGGAAUACCUGAGGCUGGGUAAUUUAUAAAGAGAAGAAGUUUAAUUGUCUCAGAGUUCUUCAGGCUGUACAGGAAAUGUGGUGCCGGCAUCUGCUUCUGGUGAGGGCCUCAAAAAGCUUAAAAUCAUGGUGUUUUAUUUUUUGCUACUGAAAUUAACUUAAUUAUUUUUCAGAAGAAUAACAGUAUACUUUCCUGUAUUCUGAUAAUCGAUGUGAUAUUUUAAGUAGCUUACAAUUACAUUGACA